CCAGCGCUGGUGCUGUACGUUUGUGAGGGCGGAGCUGAAUUCUCCUCAGCCCAGACACUGAGAGCAUCGCGAGAGCGGAGCUGUGUUCUCCUCUGCACAGACCUCGGGGGUACCGUGAAGACAGAGCAGCGUUCUACCCUGCCCAGACCCUGGCGUGGGGGGCACCGCGAGGGCGGAGCUGCGUUGUGCUCAGCACAGACGUUGGCGGCACCGCCUCGCUUUGGGACAACUCGGGGCCGCAUCCACAGUGAAUAAAAUACUUCCUGUUUCUAGCCCUGAAUAACGAAGAUUUCAGAGGAGAGCCUGGUGUCACUUACAGCAGACAUUGCAGAUGCCUCAGCAUUUCGGAUGAAGACGGUGCAGGUGGAGCUGUGCAGUCCUGCACUGAAGCCCUGCAGUCCUGACUUCUCAGUGGAGCUACAGGAGAAUUAUAUUAAUGUGUUUGCACUACUUGCUCAAUUGUAAAGCAUAACAAAUAUAUUUAAGGCAUGUUUUUAAAAUGAGAAUAAAAUAGUUUAACAAUGUUUAUA